rnacentral:tRNA from 1 species
GCCUUCGGGGUGUAAUGGUCAGCACGCUCGGCGCGUAUUCAAGAGGUCCAGGUUUGAGUCCCGGUGAGGGCA